rfam:Myotis brandtii contig306696, whole genome shotgun sequence.
CGUGGUUCUCAGGCGAUGCACCCCAGAAUUGGGCUCCCUCCUCUCUGGUUCCAGGUGCGUCACCAGAGAACCGCA